rnacentral:lncRNA from 14 species
GCUUAUGAGGAAUUGACAAGACCUCUGAAGAUUCUGACAUUUCCUUUUACAGAAGGAAGAGGUUGCUGUGUCAGACAUUUAAAGAACAUCCUUGAUGACUAGAAUCUUCAAGAGGAAACUAUGUGGUAAU